rnacentral:tRNA from 1 species
GGAGUCGUAGCAUAAUGGAUAGUGCGCUCCCCUUCGGAGGGAGAGGCGGGGGUUCGAAUCCCUCCGACUCCA